rnacentral:rRNA from 1 species
UACGUAGGUGGCAAGCGUUGUCCGGAAUUACUGGGCGUAAAGAGCGCGCAGGCGGCUGGUCAAGUCCGAUGUGAAAGCUUCCGGCUUAACUGGGAGGGGUCUUCGGAUACUGGCGGACUUGAGGAGUGCAGAGGUGAGUGGAAUUCUCGGUGUAGUGGUGAAAUGCGUAGAUAUCGAGAGGAACACCAGUGGCGAAGGCGGCUCACUGGGCACCACCUGACGCUGAGGCGCGAAAGCGUGGGGAGCGAACCGG